GCUCCCAUGGCGUAGUUGUCACUGCGCUCGCCUUGCACGCGGGAGACCCGGGUUCGAUUCCCGGCGGGGUCA
rnacentral:tRNA from 1 species